AGAGUUUGAUCAUGGCUCAGAUUGAACGCUGGCGGCAGGCCUAACACAUGCAAGUCGAACGGUAACAGGAAGAAGCUUGCUUCUUUGCUGACGAGUGGCGGACGGGUGAGUAAUGUCUGGGAAACUGCCUGAUGGAGGGGGAUAACUACUGGAAACGGUAGCUAAUACCGCAUAACGUCGCAAGACCAAAGAGGGGGACCUUCGGGCCUCUUGCCAUCGGAUGUGCCCAGAUGGGAUUAGCUAGUAGGUGGGGUAACGGCUCACCUAGGCGACGAUCCCUAGCUGGUCUGAGAGGAUGACCAGCCACACUGGAACUGAGACACGGUCCAGACUCCUACGGGAGGCAGCAGUGGGGAAUAUUGCACAAUGGGCGCAAGCCUGAUGCAGCCAUGCCGCGUGUAUGAAGAAGGCCUUCGGGUUGUAAAGUACUUUCAGCGGGGAGGAAGGGAGUAAAGUUAAUACCUUUGCUCAUUGACGUUACCCGCAGAAGAAGCACCGGCUAACUCCGUGCCAGCAGCCGCGGUAAUACGGAGGGUGCAAGCGUUAAUCGGAAUUACUGGGCGUAAAGCGCACGCAGGCGGUUUGUUAAGUCAGAUGUGAAAUCCCCGGGCUCAACCUGGGAACUGCAUCUGAUACUGGCAAGCUUGAGUCUCGUAGAGGGGGGUAGAAUUCCAGGUGUAGCGGUGAAAUGCGUAGAGAUCUGGAGGAAUACCGGUGGCGAAGGCGGCCCCCUGGACGAAGACUGACGCUCAGGUGCGAAAGCGUGGGGAGCAAACAGGAUUAGAUACCCUGGUAGUCCACGCCGUAAACGAUGUCGACUUGGAGGUUGUGCCCUUGAGGCGUGGCUUCCGGAGCUAACGCGUUAAGUCGACCGCCUGGGGAGUACGGCCGCAAGGUUAAAACUCAAAUGAAUUGACGGGGGCCCGCACAAGCGGUGGAGCAUGUGGUUUAAUUCGAUGCAACGCGAAGAACCUUACCUGGUCUUGACAUCCACAGAACUUUCCAGAGAUGGAUUGGUGCCUUCGGGAACUGUGAGACAGGUGCUGCAUGGCUGUCGUCAGCUCGUGUUGUGAAAUGUUGGGUUAAGUCCCGCAACGAGCGCAACCCUUAUCCUUUGUUGCCAGCGGUCCGGCCGGGAACUCAAAGGAGACUGCCAGUGAUAAACUGGAGGAAGGUGGGGAUGACGUC
rnacentral:rRNA from 1 species